GGUUCGGGACAUAAAACCACUGGAGAAAAGCCUCUUUGAGGAGCGAUGCGCUCAGAGAGGAAAGGUAGUAAUGAGUGGCUCACCUGUUGGGUUUCUCUUUCAGAUUCUGGUCCUCUGUACCUGAUGGAGGCUGCGGUGUCACUCAUCCCCUCUGCAGAGUGCAACAGCUCCGAGGCGUACAGCGGCAGGAUAUCGCAGGAUAUGCUCUGUGUCGCAGAGUCAGAACCAGGAGCCAGCGUGUGCCAUCCUGACAGCGGCGGUCCCCUGGUGUCCUAGAUGGACGGACUGUGGUGGCUGUUAGGUGAUGGUGUGUGGGGCGGACACUGCAAUGGACAGAAUAAACCAGGAGUCUACACCAACAUCAAACACCAUCUGAACUGGAUCUACCAACAGAUGCAGAAGCAUCAAGAUGUCUGACAAGACCAAAGACAAUCAGCAAGACAAGUUAUCUGCAUUGUGACAUUGUCCUCGUGUUUCUCUGUAAUCCUGUAUAAUGCAGGUGUUUGUUUUUUUUUACUUAUAAAAAAAUGUUUUCAUAGCCUAAAAGAAAAAAACAGACCAGUCACAAUAUUAACACAUCUCUGUUUACCCCCAAAUAUCUUCUAACAGCGAAAGGAUUUCUAAUGCAGAAAAAAGAGAUAUAAGGAAUAUAAGACGAUGAUGCACUGUAUUUUAUUGUCUCUCUGAAAAAGUACGUGUUCUGUCACCGAUUAUAUCUUGUUUUUUUUCAGGAGGGAGAGAUUUGUCACAGUUGAAAGUUUCAGACUGUUUACGAUUAUUGCCACAGCAUCUUAACUUGUCUAAGUCUGAACUUGACAAGACCAUACUUAAGGUCUUUAUUUAAAUAAAGGGAUAAA